GCGUAACAUCUGCGUUUCUGGGAGCUUCGUGCUGUGGGUGGAUUAAAAUUCAGGGUUUGUACAGGCCCACGCCACGCACGUAGUCAGGCAAGAAUAUCGGCUUCAGAGUUGCAGAUACCCAGCAGUCAGGAUGGAGAAAGUGAGGGCAGCUGCAGGGCUAUGGGCCAGGUGAAGGGUGCCAGCGGAACCCAUGAGGCCGAGACCCACUUAAAGCCAACAAAAAUGGCUUGGUACCACACCCUUCCAGACAUAUUUACCUUUUAGAACUCCUGUUCCUAGCAAGCCUCCACUCAGUGAUGGCUCUGAGUAAGUCAAUGCAUGCAAGAAAUAGAUACAAGGACAAACCUCCUGACUUUGCAUAUCUGGCAUCCAAGUAUCCAGAUUUUAAGCAGCAUGUUCAGAUAAAUCUGAAUGGAAGAGUAAGACUCUCACUGUGUACCCAAGCUGACCUUUAAACCCAUGAUCCACCUGUCUUCACCUCUAAAUGCUGUUAUUACAAGUAUUUGCCAG